AGAGUUUGAUCAUGGCUCAGAAUCAACGCUGGCGGCGCGCUUAACACAUGCAAGUCGCACGAGAAAGCGGGAGCAAUCCCGCAAGUACAGUGGCGUACGGGUGAGUAACACGUGGGUGAUCUACCCUUUAGUGGGGAAUAACGCUGGGAAACCGGCGCUAAUACCGCAUAAGCUCGAGAGAGGAAAGCAGCAAUGCGCUGAAGGAGGAGCCCGCGGCCGAUUAGCUAGUUGGGAGGGUAAAAGCCUACCAAGGCAUAGAUCGGUAGCCGGCCUGAGAGGGCACACGGCCACACUGGCACUGAAACACGGGCCAGACUCCUACGGGAGGCAGCAGUGGGGAAUCUUGCACAAUGGGGGGAACCCUGAUGCAGCGACGCCGCGUGAGCGAUGAAGCCCUUCGGGGUGUAAAGCUCUUUCGUCAGGGACGAUAAUGACGGUACCUGGAGAAGCAGCUGCGGCUAACUACGUGCCAGCAGCCGCGGUA
rnacentral:rRNA from 1 species